rnacentral:rRNA from 1 species
GAUGAACGCUAGCGACAGGCUUAACACAUGCAAGUCAGGGGCAGCGAGGGCGUAGCAAUACGCCUGUCGGCGACCGGCGCACUGGUGAGUAACACGUAUGCGACCUGCCCCCUACAGGGGUAUAACCCGUAGAAAUGCGGACUAAUCCCCCAUAGUCCCGCGGGCUGCAUGGCCUGCGGGGGAAAGGGUUUCCGGUAGGGGAUGGGCAUGCGGCGCAUUAGCUAGUUGGACGGGGCAACGGCCCACCAAGGCGACGAUGCGUAGGGGUUCUGAGAGGAAGGUCCCCCACACUGGUACUGAGACACGGUCCAAACUCCUACGGGAGGCAGCAGUGAGGAAUAUUGGUCAAUGGGCGAGAGCCUGAACCAGCCAAGUAGCGUGCAGGACGACGGCCCUAUGGGUUGUAAACCUCUUUUGUCGGGGAGUAACGUGCGGGACGCGUCCCGUAUUGAGAGUACCCGAAGAAAAAGCAUCGGCUAACUCCGUG